rnacentral:tRNA from 1 species
GGACAUAUAGCUCAGUGGUAGAGCAAUUGACUGCAGAUCAACAGGUUGGUGGUUCAAAUUUGCCUGCAUCCU